rnacentral:tRNA from 1 species
AAAAUCCGUCGACUUUAUAAGUCGUGAGGGUUCAAGUCCCUCCCCA